UGGCGGCGUGCCUAAUACAUGCAAGUCGAACGCUUCUUUCCUCCCGAGUGCUUGCACUCAAUUGGAAAGAGGAGUGGCGGACGGGUGAGUAACACGUGGGUAACCUACCCAUCAGAGGGGGAUAACACUUGGAAACAGGUGCUAAUACCGCAUAACAGUUUAUGCCGCAUGGCAUAAGAGUGAAAGGCGCUUUCGGGUGUCGCUGAUGGAUGGACCCGCGGUGCAUUAGCUAGUUGGUGAGGUAACGGCUCACCAAGGCCACGAUGCAUAGCCGACCUGAGAGGGUGAUCGGCCACACUGGGACUGAGACACGGCCCAGACUCCUACGGGAGGCAGCAGUAGGGAAUCUUCGGCAAUGGACGAAAGUCUGACCGAGCAACGCCGCGUGAGUGAAGAAGGUUUUCGGAUCGUAAAACUCUGUUGUUAGAGAAGAACAAGGACGUUAGUAACUGAACGUCCCCUGACGGUAUCUAACCAGAAAGCCACGGCUAACUACGUGCCAGCAGCCGCGGUAAUACGUAGGUGACAAGCGUUGUCCGGAUUUAUUGGGCGUAAAGCGAGCGCAGGCGGUUUCUUAAGUCUGAUGUGAAAGCCCCCGGCUCAACCGGGGAGGGUCAUUGGAAACUGGGAGACUUGAGUGCAGAAGAGGAGAGUGGAAUUCCAUGUGUAGCGGUGAAAUGCGUAGAUAUAUGGAGGAACACCAGUGGCGAAGGCGGCUCUCUGGUCUGUAACUGACGCUGAGGCUCGAAAGCGUGGGGAGCAAACAGGAUUAGAUACCCCUGGUAGUCCACGCCGUAAACGAUGAGUGCUAAGUGUUGGAGGGUUUCCGCCCUUCAGUGCUGCAGCAAACGCAUUAAGCACUCCGCCUGGGGAGUACGACCGCAAGGUUGAAACUCAAAGGAAUUGACGGGGGCCCGCACAAGCGGUGGAGCAUGUGGUUUAAUUCGAAGCAACGCGAAGAACCUUACCAGGUCUUGACAUCCUUUGACCACUCUAGAGAUAGAGCUUUCCCUUCGGGGACAAAGUGACAGGUGGUGCAUGGUUGUCGUCAGCUCGUGUCGUGAGAUGUUGGGUUAAGUCCCGCAACGAGCGCAACCCUUAUUGUUAGUUGCCAUCAUUUAGUUGGGCACUCUAGCGAGACUGCCGGUGACAAACCGGAGGAAGGUGGGGAUGACGUCAAAUCAUCAUGCCCCUUAUGACCUGGGCUACACACGUGCUACAAUGGGAAGUACAACGAGUCGCUAGACCGCGAGGUCAUGCAAAUCUCUUAAAGCUUCUCUCAGUUCGGAUUGCAGGCUGCAACUCGCCUGCAUGAAGCCGGAAUCGCUAGUAAUCGCGGAUCAGCACGCCGCGGUGAAUACGUUCCCGGGCCUUGUACACACCGCCCGUCACACCACGAGAGUUUGUAACACCCGAAGUCGGUGAGGUAACCUUUUUGGAGCCAGCCGCCUAAGGUGGGAUAGAUGAUUGGGGUG
rnacentral:rRNA from 1 species